rnacentral:rRNA from 1 species
UGAGAUUUAUCCUGGUCAGAGCGAACGCUGGCGGCAGGCCUAAUACAUGCAAGUCGAGCGGUCCCUUCGGGGGCAGCGGCGGACGGGUGAGUAACGCGUGGGAACGUGCCCUUUGGUACGGAACAACUGAGGGAAACUUCAGCUAAUACCGUAUGUGCCCUUCGGGGGAAAGAUUUAUCGCCAUUGGAGCGGCCCGCGUUGGAUUAGGUAGUUGGUGAGGUAAAGGCUCACCAAGCCGACGAUCCAUAGCUGGUCUGAGAGGAUGAUCAGCCACACUGGGACUGAGACACGGCCCAGACUCCUACGGGAGGCAGCAGUAGGGAAUCUUGCGCAAUGGGCGAAAGCCUGACGCAGCCAUGCCGCGUGAAUGAUGAAGGUCUUAGGAUUGUAAAAUUCUUUCACCGGGGACGAUAAUGACGGUACCCGGAGAAGAAGCCCCGGCUAACUUCGUGCC